CGGAUCCGUCCCCGUCCAAAUUUUUAUAGGCACACGCCAUCUUCAUAACUUCAAGUUCAGUGCUCCAAUUUUAUUCAACGUGUAACGUAUAAGUUGGUAGACCAAUAGAAUUUAUAUGAACAAAUACUAUUUGAUUUCGGGGAAGGCAUAUUGCAAGGUGUAGUCAAGUUUGCUGAUUUUACAAUUGAAAAUAAUUUUAGAAAUACAGGCUAGAAUGCAAAAGGCUGUAGAUAAUACAAAGCCUUCCUUAAGAAUACAAAGAUUUUAUAGGGAAAAACAAGUGUGCGUUGAAAAAAAUCAUUUAUAAAGACGAAAGAUUUACAAAUUAUAACAUGAUACAUCAGGAAAAUUACUUCCGAAUAAAUUGACUAUACAUAAUUUGACUGAUGAUUGGCUAAAAGCUAUUCAGGUGAUUUGGAAAACUACCCACUUAAAUGCAGAAAACAAUUGUGAUAUAAAUAAAUCAAUGUCGGAUUGUUUUCAAGAAAGAGAAGAACUUUGAUUGCGUUAUCAAGUAGCUGUAAUUAGAAAUGCUAUAAACGAACUUGGAUGUAAAAAAUUACCUUCUGGAUAUGACCUUUCAAUGGAGGAUUCAUUUACUGAGCCAACAAAAACAAAAUCAAAAUUUACAAGAGG